CGACCCCAGUCAGGCGGGGCUACCCGCUGAAUUUAA
rnacentral:rRNA from 1 species